UCUGCCUCUGAGAGCUGAUAUGGUGCUCCUGGAGCUGCCAUGGAAAGGAGGUGAAGAGAGCAAAAGCAACAGUGACAUAAUUUCUGGGACUGCCUAUCAGCACAGCACACCUUCCCACUGAGACUUUUCUAUCACUGAGACACUACAAGAGAAGCCUUAUGGAAAUGGAUUUGUGGACAAAAGCAGGAGAGGAAACUACAUUUGCAGUUAAUAAAAGCAUCAUUUGCAGAUGUCCUGGCAGUGAUCUCGGAAUUUGGAAAUACACAUCUCCUUGUCAGAUGCCCUUCGUUUAUUGGGGUGGAUCCAGGAUAAAUAACUCCAGUGACAUAGCUCAAAUGGAGCUUCUUCACUGGUCCGUUUAUAAGAAGUGCUACUCGUAUUUUGGAUACUGUCUUCAAAAUAAACAAGUAAGUGCAUCCAUUACCUUCUACUGAUCGUGAUAUUUUCAUUUCCAUGAUGCCUCCCAGGCAUAAACAGGCAGUAGAGGCCCAACAGCAUGUCCUUGGUAGUACUGCACUACAGCAACUCUUAGCUGAAGAGGCCAUAACAGUCCCUCAGAAAGUCCUUUUAAAUGACAUCUGGAGGUUAUAACAGCAACAAUAUAGUCCAGAAAUACUUCAAAUCCCGGGUGGGCCAGAGGACAUGAGGCUCUCAGAGCUGUGCAGCACCAGAGCAGCUGAGCUGAGUGUCUCCAGGGGGCUCUGGAAUCCACAGGGCCACUUACAUAAUGUGCUUUGCCUAAAAGUGGUGCUGUCCCACAGAGUGUGAGGUUGUGGCUAUUUUUGAAAGAGAAGAGAGACAAGAAAGGUGCUUGAGGCCUCUUGUGCAAGGGCUCUGGAGCUGAUAAGUACGGACCUGAGAAAACCAUGGUGAAAUCGACUCCACAGUUUUUGGAUCCUAGAUGAAACUGAACUCUGAAUACUGAACUCUUAAAUGCAGCUUAGCAAAGUAUUUUUCAAUCUCUCACGUCCAUCUUUCUAAUUGAUAAUUACAGAGUAGCCUAUGUCUGACUAUUGCCAGAACAUCCACAGCAGUUCCACUAGUAUUGCAGAAAAUUCUCUCUGAGCAGAGUGAUUUCUUCUCAAAUACAACCAUGAAAUGAAAAGGAAACAAAUAACCUAUUUCUCUGUCUCUCUAGUGGCAUCCAUGUGCUACUCAAUGGAGAAAGAAGAGAAUUAUCCUAUGAUUAAGUCAGGCAUCUCCUUUUAUUGAGAUAGCCUGCUCUGCCCUCCUGCUCCAUCUAAAUUCUUCAGUCUGUUUUGAGUUCUGAACACAUACUAAGGUGUGUUUCUUAAGGUACAUGCUUGGUAUAAUUUCAAAGGUAUUGAUUAUUGCCAGGGAAUUGCAUGCAUUUUUAGAAAUAAGCCAUCAUUAGCUUAAAAAAUAAUCUCACUGAUCAAGCCUUACACCACACUUUGAAGUUUAUCUUGUGCUGACUAUGGCUGAUCACAUUAGAAAGUCUCUGCAGGAUGGAAGCUCAUUGAAAAGUCUGCUUAGAAAAUUACUAAGCAGUCAGUCCUUCUGUUAAUAUCUGUUAAAAUGAAUGUUUUUAGACUAGAAAGCAAGCACUAUCUGAAUAAAGAUCAAAGCCGUAGAAGUUUCUUUGAAAAUCUUUUCAAGUAGUUGCAGCUCUGUAAUCCUUCGUAUCAACAAAAGCUAUUCCAAAAUGUUUCCUAACUCACUCACUCUCAACAUGAAUUUGACUUCCUCUUUACUAUCAGAGGUGUACAUCUCCCCAAACGAUGAGCCCAUUUAGCAACUGACUCACUAUUUUCUAACGCACCCUAAUGAAAAAAAAAUCUAUUUAGAAUCUAAUACUGAGGUAUCAGACACAUGCAGAUACACAUGGUCAAUGUGCAUGUGAUGGUUAUGUUAGGCAGACACUGGAAAAUAUUUAUACAAUUUAUCACAAUGUCUCAAUUCCACCAGUGUCCUCCCACUUGCCUUGGAAUUAGGCAGCAGGGCAACUGUCAAACUGGCAAAUAAGUCUUGGUAUGUUUCUGAUCAUUAGCUCUACUUCUGAUCAUUGUCUUUCAUCUUCAAAUAAGGCUGCAUCAAGGCAAAAAAGAACUGUAGCAUUACGAGCUAAAGAUUUUCUUUUGAGGAAGUAAUGUAUGUCUGUUGUUUCAGCAAAGCAGCCUGUUAUUCUGCUCGCCCACACACCUCCAAGCGUAUCAAUAAAAGGAAAACUUCCUUUGACAUGGGAAACGCUUUUUAAAACAAAAUUACCUGCACCUUACUUUGCUUUUCCAGAAGUUUAAGAGUGUCCAUUCCUUUUCCCAGAAGACAAGCAGAGGUUAAGUGGAUGAAUGACUGAAUGUUAAACAUACUCCUCCCUACUUACCCACGUCUUAAUCUGCGUGGAAAAUACUUUUAAAAAAUCAAUUUGCAUUAGCUGAUUUUGAAACUUAAUUUGGGUAAAUAAAAUUUGGGUAGGCACCCAAAUCAUUCAGAUGCUCUGAAUUUUUUAAACUUUUAAACUAUUGUGCUAGAAUUGGAAGCUUAAAAAUGCUCUCUGUCACCCAGAGUUUGAGGCAGGUGUUGAUCAAGCAAAUAAUAAAUCUUAAUACUUCUAAUUUGAUGAAAACAACAACUUCAUGACCUUUCUUAAGUGCUCGAACAGCAGCCUCACCAUGAGAGAUAGCUCAGCUGUUCAUGUCUUGGAUGAAGACCACUUUGGAAAAGCAACCAAACCAAGUACAGAAGCAUAUUUUUAUCCCACUGCUGAGUUCUAUAUUGACUUUUGCUCUGCUUCACAGAUGGGGUUAGGUGACUUUCCAUUUUUAUUCAGUUUUUCACAGGUUGUCAAAACGAUCAGUUUGGGCCAGAUGAUCUAAGGUUUACUGAGCUUUUUUAAACUGCAGUCCAUGUUUUUAAUCACCUGAGAAUGAAUUACUGCAAUAUUGUCAGGUUUUUUGUUAGUAAACUUAGGUGUAAGAAUGUGCCUAGCAGGAGUUUAACACCGAAGCCAGAGCUACUGUCCUUCACUUUUCUUCUUCCAGAAAUAACGGUUCAGUGUUUUGGCUUCUGUACUUCCAGGAGAAAAUGUAGGGAAAGUUCUGAGACUGAGUAUAGCAGUGACAAGUUGGACUUGACCCAUGUUUGUUAUAUAAUGAACAUUAAACCUGGAUGUACCAUUGCAACUAAAAAUACAAAGUCUGAUGUUAGUGAUGGCUACACUGUGUCCAUGUUGUACUGUUACCUUCACAUCUCUCUACCCCCAUCAGAUUUUCAUCCAGAUAUCCUCCACUUUCUUUGCUUCGUGCUGUAUUACUAAACACAUUCUUUUUUUUACUUGAGAUGCAAAAUUGGUAUGGAACUUUAACUACAACUGUUUAAAACUUUACAGCUUCAUGUAAGAACAGCACUGCCCAAAGGUUCAACCUAAUUAAAAAUAGCCUGAAGGCUUUUACUUCCUGACACUACAAUGAACUUAAAAGGAAAAAAAACCUCUUCUUGUCUGCACUGCUAUUACUGGAUUACAGAAUGCUGUGCAAAGGGAGGUUAAUGGAGCCAUCCCCAUGAUUAAGUUCAAGGGAUUAAUGUUUCAGUUCAGUUGCUUUUUAUCGAAACAUUUUUUUCAAAGGUCAUAUUAACACUGACUAUUGCAAAGUGAGGCAACUCUAAUUACCCAUCAAGUUCAAAUGAACCAUGUAGAAAACUUUGGUUCAGUGAUGGUUAGCUGCAUCCUUCAAUGCAAAAUAUGACAUAUAAGGUAACUGAGAUAACUCAUAACACUAGAGAAACAACAAAAAGCCUGUCCUACUGCUGCAUAGAGUAGCUUGAACUCAUGCCUGUUAAAGGGCAAAGACAAAGUUCACUUAUCUUUAGGAGGAGACAGCGAUUGACUGAUGGUUUUUGGAUCUACAGUACUGGUAAACAUUUAAGCACAGGCAAAAUCUAACCAGUUCAAACAAAAGAAACACCUGCACAAAAUGGCGUGAAGUGAAACUCCUUCCCAAACAGAGAUCUGAAAUGAGUAUCAGUCACAAAGAAGUGCUGCAGAUGAGUAAAGCUCAUUUUCCUCACUGAAGCAUUUCAGAUGUUUGGGAAUCUUCCACUACCCUGUCUUAGCAACUAAAGGAAACUGCAAAGCAUGAAUGUGUCUAGAAAACAGGACCUGGAUGCUGCUUAAAAUCCAAGCUUGCUUCAACAGUCAAAGUAGAGACAAAAACUUCCACGGAGAAGUCAGGUGCUCCUGUCACAUUCAGACCUGCCCAGUUUUUUCUCUCUGCAUACAACCUGAUGUGGGUUUCUGUUGAGCACGCGAGCUCCAUGAAGAAGGGAAGCCUCUGGGUGUUUUGCCCUUCUUAAGGUUUAUAUGGAUGAAUGACUGCCAGCUCCAGCAUUGCGAUUCAACCAACCAGCAGAGGUCCAGAGGUCAGCUCUUCAUAAAUAUGGUGGAUUAUGUUCAUGGAGCUAUGCUGAUAGACAACAUGCAAAAUCAUAAACAAAAGCAAGCACCUGCACACUUAAGUCUGCUCUAUGGUAUAUUUUUCACCUUGAAGUGAAAUUGGACAUUUUAAAGUCUCCUUGAACAGAUGUGUCAGUGAUACUGCCACCAUUUGUUUUUUUGUUUUGGUUUUUUUUUGGUCAGACUUUUUGCCAGAAAAAGGAAUAGAUAUAGUCCCUGAAAGGUACAUCUAGAAGAUACAGGAAAAAUAAACAAUAUUACAACUUACUAACACCAAGCAGUGCUAUCUUCACACUGAUAACAACUUGCUGUAUGAAAAGAAUGCGUUGAGGAGGGACAGACUAUGCUUAAUUAGAAAAAAAAAGUUAUUUAGAGCACAAUGUGAAGCUACAGGUGUGAGAAGGGCACAAAGUGCCUUCUGCCUAUGCUGCCCUAUCCCAGAUUAAGGCACAACCAACCAAGGACCAGGAUGAAAGAGCAGCCCCAAUGUAAGUGAUUGAAAUCCCAGCAUGGACAGAAAUCAGUCCCUUUGGUACCUCCCUUCAUCACAGAUCUCAGUGUGUGGAGGCUGCACACUCCUACAAGGAAGAGUGAGCUUUUCUACUGACAUCAGUGGGUUUGGUCCCUGGCCUCUCUCAUUCUGAAGUUAAUACAGUUCAUCCAUGUAUAGUUCACCAGAGGAUCGAGCCUGAACUGAGAUGAAUCCUAUGGAACUUCACUAAGCCCUUUGCUUUUUUUUCCACUGAGAUUCCAUCAAAAUGUAUAACAUGACCUCCUCAGAGCUCUGAUUUGUUUUUAAUUUAAUUUCAUUUGUGUGUAUCACUGUUGGUAGCUUCUAUCUUGUAAAAGUUUUGUACUGUGCAAAACCUAAUUUAAGAAGAAAAAUUGGCAGAAGCAGCAUCCCCUUUUCCAUUAGAAGUACUUAUCUUUUUAAUGCUCUAUCUGUGUUUUAUUACUGUUACAUCUUCUAAAGGCAUUAAAAAGUUCUCAAGAGGUCUUGUAACUUUACAAUGUGUUCUGCGAUGCCAAUUCUGAUCACAGCCUAGUUCAAGAUAAGUUUAAUGAACGCUGGAAAAAUACAGGCCUCUCAUGAUAAGUGACUGUGCUAUUUGAGGAAGCAACAGUAUACUCUGAAAACAAGGAUUGCUUGGGUUAGAGCUCUCUUUAAAAUAUGUGUGGAGUACACAUUUUUACUGAGGAUAACAGAGACUAAUCUUGAAUUCUGGGAGUAUUCCAAAUGGUGGUAGGCAAGUAUCAGAACUGCAUGAGAUUGUUAACUUGCAGAAACCCCUUUUAGAACAAUGACUUACAUAAUACCAGCUUUUCACCGUUUAAUAUAAAUGUAUUUAGAGCUACAGAAAUGCAGACAAGCAUUAGAUUUAGUAAUGAUGAUUGGAAAAUUAAUUCAACUGCAAAUGUGUAACAGUAAUAAGAUUAUUCUGAGUUAGUUGCAGAAGUUAUUCCUAAAAAAAAUCUUAUCACUUACGUUAUUUAAACUUUCUUACAUAUCAAUUAGUUUGAAAUAAUAAGUCUUUAGGCUAUCCACUAAUUGCAGCACUGUAGACACAAUCUGUAUUUAAAAUUAUGCAGUGAAAAUUAAGCCAAAGCACCAAGCAGUCUUGGCUAACAAAAACGUUUUCCUCAGCCCUUCGGAUAAAGAAGGAGAGAUAAUGGGGGCACUGAAUUCACAGGAGAACUCUUUCUCAGUUUACUAUUCUCUGCUUGUCACAUGUUAGCACAGAGUACCAAAGCCACAAGCUGUUAUCCACGUGUUUAAUUUGCAGUGUUGCAUUUUCAGUGUAUUCAUUUUCUGAUCAUAUGGUGUGACUGCAGACAAAAAAGCGAAGAACUUCAGUGAUUAAUGCAAAGGAAGGACGGCAACACAUACAACCCGAAGAACAGCUGAUUAAGAAGAUUCUGCCACAGGAUCAUUUACAAGUGUAAGGUAAAUGUGGACGGGUUAUUUUUUUAGAAGACAGAGGGAAGCUGUUUGCAGAGGAACAUCUAGUAUAUACAUGAGGAAAAGCCACCAUUUUUAGUUUCUACCUGCUGUUAUGGCUCCAGGCUCUUAAGAAAGGCUUCAAACUACUCUUUUAAGUCUUUCUGUCCUUGCAGAAUUGAUCUCAGGAGAACAGAAGUUCCCUUGUCUGCUUGUAUUUUAUUUCACUGAUAUGCUGAAACUCCAGUUUGGCACUUGUGUCAUUAGAGCUGGUUUAUUCUGGCACCUGUCAGAGGCACACAGCAUGGACUGCUGCAUCAGUCACAGCUGCUGACUGCAGCCGCUGUCCUCAGCAGCAGCAGAAGUGCUGGGAAGAGGAAUUAUUUUUAAAACACAGCUACUAAUUGACAGGUGUUCUUCCCUGAAUCCUCUAUGCCUACAGUACCAAUGAGGAGUCAAAGAGAACAUUCAACUGACCAAAACAGAUAAUGGGAAUUAUGUCUCCCACCACAGAAAUUCAAAGCAAGCAGCUGAAAUAUUCUGUGUUCAAAGGUGUCUGAUGGAGGUAAUCAAAAAGCGUGUCUCAGAUUGAUGCUUCUUAAAAUCAGACAAACAAGUUGCUCUCUCCCUGCAUGCUACAUUAGCAGCUACCAAGCUGUUUCACCCUACUGUCCCCUCUAUUCUGUACUUCAUUUUACUUAAUAAGAAAAGGCAGAGCAUGGAGCUUUCUGUGUAUGAUGUAACUUCAUCUUCAGACAGCAGUGAUUUACACUUUUGUGCAUGAAAAAAAGACAGUCUCUUUGAUUAUCAGCCUAUCUACUGUAAGAUUUCCUACUGUCAGUAGCCUGCACUUAAUAUGUAACUCUGUAAAAAGACACUCAAAGAUGUUCCCUACUGCAUGCAUGUUUAUUAAAAAAAUGUUUCUAGAUGCUCAUUAAAUGGCUACAGGAGGAAAACAAAGGUGAAUACUGAGUCAGUGCUCUUAUGGCACGUGUGUUUGUUUGUUUGCAUAUCCUUACUAAACAUGAAUGAAAAAGGGACAGCAUCUGGUAAUUUCUAAGUGAAUCAAAAUAAUGCCUUCAUGGGCAUAAACAGGGAUUUUCUAUAAUAAUUUACAUUACUGAUGUAUUCAUACUACAUGUAGUUUGUUCAGGAAGGACAAGUAAAGAAAAGGCCUUGGUGAGAUAUUUAUCAAAGAUAUUAUCUUUUUUUUCUGAUCUCCAGUGUAUUAUAAGAGAGAGACCUGCAGAAAGCCUCUGGGUGCUAACAGAAUUGGACAUGAAAAUGGACACUGUCCUGGUGGGGGGCCUAAAACAGACGAUCACAUUAGGGGGAUGGGGUGGUGAAGUUUACUAACCUAGAAAACUUUUGGAAGUGAAACACGGCAGGGCACGGGAUGCUCAAAAUGCAGGAAGCAUUCAUAUUUACAUUUGUAUUCUCUACUUGUGUUUGUAUGAGAAUACGGACAUCUAGUACACAUAAAAGACCUCUGAGCAAACUUACUGCUUUUUCAUAUUACAGCAAAAAAAAAGCAUUUCUGCAUCUGACAACAGCAAUGUUCUUGGCCUGUAACAAAUCCUCAAACAUGGUUUGUAUCACUGAACUGAAUCUACUUCUGAGGAAGUAGCAGCCGUUAAGAGGCAGUUAAUAUUACGAGAAAUUAACCCCAGACUUAAAAAAAAAUCACUUAAAAAGUAAAAAAUCCAAAUAAUAAUUUAAAAAUUUGAAUUAAUUUUCAACCAAUUGGUAUUUUCAAGUGAGAGCCCCAGCAGUGUCUAUCUGAAUACAGAUGGGAAUGAAGGGUAUUCCAGGGCAAGAGGAGACACUAACACUGACAUGAAAUUAGAGAGUAGUUACUGCAGAAUUUAUUCCAUUCUGCCACACAGAGAGUGAGUCCCUGCUCAGAAUUACAAUGAUUCUUUGAGAGAAAGACUGACAGUGAAUUAUCAUUCCCAGGAGCUUCUGUAAUUUCUAAGCAACUCAGCAUUACACAGACUUGCACAUCUAUCAUGCUUCAACUUCAGCAGCAUUACAGCAUCAGUGUAAGGUGUAAAACUGACAGAACAGGGAAAGAUUUAAUUGCUGGCAAGGUCAUCAAUCCCAUCAGGAAUACUAACUUCUGAAACCAGAUAAGUGCUCUGAAAACCAAACCUUCGGAAUUUUCAGCAGAAAGGACAAUUCUGUGAUCAGUAAUAUUACAUGGAGAUCCCACUGACCUAUGUAACACCCUGACAAAACUCUGAGCCAAACAGGUACUUCUAAAUAUCCUAAUAUUCAAUAAUCUCACAAAGAAAGUCAGAAGACAAUCUGUGUAUAUACGAAUAGCAUCAGCAUCAGCAGUUGGUGAAACAAUCUGCCUUAUGUGCUCCAAGCUCUAUGUUUUAUUCAGGCAUUAACACCUCCUUCAUGAAUGUAAAGAUGUCGGAUGUGAGCUACCACAUGCAAUAUCAUUCCCACAGGACAUACAGUAACUUAACAUGGAGACUGACAUUGCACCAUGCAGAAUUCUAGUUGUACAUAACAGCUAUUAUAAGAUUUACAAAAAUCCAGGUUUAGAAAAGAUGUCAGCUUGAUUCUAGACAGCAUCUACACAUGGCUGAAGCCCACUAAAAUGCUCUACUAUGCACUGAAGAGUUUAUCUGAAAGAGCUCAAAGGAGAAGAAAAGUGUAGCAGUAAAUGUCAGACCUUCCUUUUCAGAACUCUCAUUGGCCAUUCCUUCCUGGUCAAAAUGUCCUACUGGCAAGCUAUUUUGUAUGGAAUAAAAAAAGAUGCAUCUUAGGACCAGACUUUUAAGCCCACAUUCUCUUAUUCUGUCUCAAAGAUUUAUUUUAAGUUUCCGCUGUUGACACAGACAAAUCACUAUUAACUAAAUGAAAGUUACUGCUACACUAAUAUUUAUUAGUGGAUUCUGACAGCUCCUGAAUGAAGCUCUGAAUUUAGGUAACCUCUCUAGAUUUCCGUACAACUACUAUAAUGACUUCAAAGGAUUGGAUACCUCCCCUGCAUAUGCUCUGAUGUCAUUCCUUCUGUUCAGCCUGAAGCCAGUAGUGUCUCUCCAUAUGGGAGAGAGAGCUGAGAUAAUACUCCUUGAUGGGCUGCACAGAAGCUUGACUUCUCCCUUCUGUGCUGCCUGGCCUCCUCCUAUCCAGCUGCUUCAGAGCAUUCAAAAUGCCUUACUCUGCGGUCGUACCAGUGAGAAUGUAGGGCAGAAAGGAGUGGAAGAAAAAAAACACAACAUUUUUCCAUCAUUCUCAUAUUUCCUUUGGAGUGAGUAGAACUGUGGAGUGAUGGAUGGAUCACAUGAGGUGUCCUAAGUGGUUAUGUGAUGCCACCAGAGGUUCUUAUCUUAGGUCUGAGUUGCUUCUAACUGUGCAGAAGCAAUUGAAUUGCCCAUUCCUGCCAUUCUCCGAAGAUAUUCUGACUUAACCCAAGCAGGGGGUAUGAAGUUGGCAGCAUACUGUUUGCAAUGUAAGUGAUGUAUGACAAGAAUAGAGGUAAACACUUCUGUUCUUUUAAAUGUCCACUGGGUUGUUUCAAGGCAGAUCAGAUCUAUUCCUAUGCUUCUGCUUUUCAGGAAAGGAAGUCAGAACAUUCCUGAGGAAGAGAAAUCAGUAUUCUCACGACACCUAAACACAAACAACAACAAAAAUUCCAGUUCUUUAGUGAACAAUUGCCAAUUUAAUGCCGCCGUCUCAAGUAAGUCACUCUUCUGAAUACUGGCAAGGUGCCGACACAUUCAUUAUGGCUCUACUUUCUUUUGUCACAACUACUUUGUUCAGGAAACCUGCCCUUUUAGGUACCUUGCCUGUAUCCAAGAGGAAAACACAUUCAUGUAGCCAGGGCCCCACCUAGCAGCUCUAAUCUUUGACCUUACCACAGUGAGAGCACUAAGCAAUAUUUACAAUCAGCUGCAUUCUUUUUGAAGUGUUUGAAAGUAUCUUUUUCUCAAUAGUAAAAACAUUAAAAUAAAUAAUAAAUAUAUAAUGAUAUAUAUAGAGAUAUAUAUAGAGAUACAUGAAAAGUAUGCUAGUGUCCACCUGGGCAGAAACACGUAAUCCACAGAAAAAAAGAAGCCUGAGAAGUUAUAGCCACAUGCUAUGAAUUAGUCAAACUUAUUUAGCAUUUGCAUUUCAACAGAAUUGAGACGUUAAUAUCUAUUUUGCAAGACCCAGACCAAACAUACAUAGCUGGUUCUUUUUUUCUUACUCUCCCAUACGUGUCCUUGGAAGUAUACCUAGUAAGUAUUUAGAAAACAAACAACCUUUCCUAUGCAUUCUGAUAAAACAUCCACUGGGAAAGCACAAGGAAUUGCCUCACUGAUGUUGGCCAGGGAGAAGAGGAGCAAUCACAGCAAAUGUGUUCCUUUUCCUCUUCUGAAGGUGCAUCUCUAACACUGGUAUUGGUACCACACUGACUGGAGGAGUAGUCCCAAAACCUGAGCCUUUGUUGCCACUAGGAAGGACUAUGAAUCACAAAACAACUGUUAAGGCUUUGUAUGGGACAGCGAAAAGCUAAGCAGGGAUGUUCCCUGGCAGAGAGGAUCUGCAGUGCUAUCCAGAAGGCUCCAUUUACUGCUGCACAUCUGUGAGUUGAGCCAGGGGACUGAAAAACAAACCAUACCUGCUUGGCAUGGAACCAGAACCUUCUGCACCCAGGUACCUGCAGCAGAACAGUAGGUUCUGUUACCAAACACAAUCCUGUCUGAGAAGCUAUGGUAGUUCUCUCCUCACAGGGAAGCAAUGUAUACCAAAGCAUUCCAGAAACUUCAGUAGAAGAAGAAUUAUUAAAUAUAAAUACAAACCAAGCAGGAUUCACUGAUUCAGUGGCAAAGGCUUGUGAUUUAUAGCCAUUUCCUAGUGAGGGAAAACUCAAGACCUCCUGCCAUGACUGUAGAUGACAGCAGACAUCCUUGAAACACUACUACAUUCUGUUAGCAUGUUCUAAUCAUUAGUCCUUCUGUAUAGGACUUUCACCGUUCUCCCGAGCUUUGAUUGCCUCUCCCCAGUUGUCCUGUUCCCUUCCUCCUCCCUUAAAAACUCACUCUCUCACCUCUAAAUUAUUGCCUUAGGCUCUACUAAUUCCACUUUAUUCAUUUCUCCUUUCCCUCCCCCCUCCGCCCCUCAAAUUUUCUUUCCUGCUCUCAUGCCCCAAUUAAUCAUUUCUCUCACUAUCCCAUAAUCUGGUGUUCCAGAUGACAAAUAUUAAAUUUAUGUGUUUGGUAAGCUUAAUCUUGAGUGGUGCCCAGAAUUCCUACCUUCAACACCCUUCCCCUUUCUCAUCCGUGACAUGUAGAUGCUCUCAAUUCAUACCCCUGUAACAUCCCCUCGCAUCAAUCUUCUUUACUUCUUCGGAGAGACAUUUAAUAGUGCCUGUUUCUCUGAUAUGUGAGUACUGCAGCUACUGUGAGCAGAGAACAGAGGAUAUUCUGAUGAUCCAAAGGGCUGUAGAGAGAGAGCUUGUAUAAUCAUGCUGUGACACACAGCCCCUGACCACUGCACUGAGGUGGGGCAAAAGCAGCAAUAAAUAAAGCAGGCAGGCAGACAAUGGGGUGGGGUAUGAUUUGAAGAAGCCACAGAUUGCUUUCCCGGUACAAAAAGAAUGUAAUGGCCAGUGGCAGCAUAUGUUAUGCAGCUAGCAGAUAAUAAUCAGGGCUGUAAUUGCUCAAAGAUUUCAGAGGAACCAUCAGGCAGUAAAUUGUGGACACUCCUGACUCAAAGUUUUGACAUGUAAAAUGAAAACAACAUUAGCAUUACUAGAUAAAAAGGGGAAUGUU